AUUUUGAAAACGGUCGUAUUUUACAGGAACGAAUAUUUCUACCUUAUUUGAAAGAUGACGUCAACGGUUGUUUGUCGGCAAGUCGAGCGGAACGUUAUCGAUAAUCUAUCGUGUUUGCUUAUAAGAUAUCGCUAUCGAAACCGUAUUAAAUGCUUCGUAAUGCAACAUCCGAUCCGAAAAGUACGCUUUUAUUACACCUUGCUCGGGAAAAUAUUAACCAAUAAGAAAGCUCCUUUCACUAUAACUCAUUUUAAAAGUGAAGUACUAGUUCAAAAGUUGCCACAUCACACGAUGUUAUUACAUAAGUUUUAUUAAUGUUUUAUGUAUAUUUGGCGAAUCUGUAAUUUUACUUCCGUUUCUCCAAAAGUAGACAUAUCUUCCAUGUGAAGAAGCGAUUUAUGUCAUUAUAAAUUACUUAAAAUAAUACUUUUAAAUGGCUGCAGUGAAUAAAUAUUUAACGAGAAUCGUUGCGUUUUUUAGAAAAGGCAGAGGUGAGUACUGUAUUCUUUAACCGGUUCGCAGUAUAUGUUAACGAUAAAUUAUUUGUUUGUUAUUGUUUAUAUUUACGUAAAGAAUUAAUCUGUUUAUUGCACAUGAAACUGUCAAGGCCGAGUUGCAUCGUGCCGAAAGGGAUGGAAGUCUGCGAAUGUUUAAAAAAAAAAAAAAAAAGAAAACUUUUAUGAAUUACAUGGCACUGUCCCAAGUUGUAA
rnacentral:lncRNA from 1 species